UGCAUCUCUUUGUUCGUUUGCUUCACGACUAAACUCGCUGGCAUUUUCAGUCGUCGCGUUUCUCUCUGCCCCUCUCUCUGCGGGUGGUAUUGUGCCCCUUCCUACAUACUGCAGGAACAGAAAAGCGGUCUCACUGGCGUCCUUGCACACCAGAGGAGCCGCCGCCACACCCCCAGGAACACUUCCCACCCACCACUAUUCCACAUCAGAAGCAACACGCUGAGGCACCCCCACGCGCAAGGAGAGUCUAAAUGAAUUUCGGCGUCAUUGGUGGGCAGCAGGGUCCCAAGGCGCUCCUAGAUGCGGUGCAGCAGGCGGUCCGCGACGGCAACCUUGAAGCUCUCCGUCGUCUCUCCAAAGAGUUCCUUGCAAUUAGCGACAACGUAGAGAAGUGCCGAGACGAAAAUGGCAACACUAUCGUCCACCUUGCCCUGGGCAAGAACACCACUACACUCGAGUACGUCAUCGAGUCACUCCACGCGAACGUCAACGCCACAAAUGCGCAGGGGCGCACUCCUUUGCAUGAGGCAGUGACACGGGACUACAUAGCGUGCUGUCAGGUGCUCCUCGAUCACGGCGCAGACGACACCAUUCAGUCCACGACGCAGUCCACUCCUUUUCACACGGCAGCGGCGUGUGGAAGUAUCGAGGGCAUGGAGGUGAUUCUCCGCCACAGCGACAAUCCGGAGGUGAAGGUGAACGAGUUAGACCGGAAGCGUAGUUCUGCCCUGCACAAGUGCGCAUUUGACGGAGACGUGCGAGUGAGCCGGUGGCUGGUCGAGCACGGCGCCAACGUCGAUGCGGCCGACUCCACAGAUGCGACGCCACUCCUCAUAGCCGUGAAGAUGGGCCAGACAGAGGUGGCGGAGUACCUCUUGCGAAACGGGGCGGACUGCAACCGGCAAGACCGGCAGGGCAACAGUGGCUUGCACUUCUGUGCCGUUCGCGGCGAUGUCAAGGCAGCCCAGCUGCUCCUCGCCGCUGGGGCGAACCCAUGCUUGCUCAACGAGGAGUACGAUACUCCACUGCACAUCAUUGCCCGAAACUCGCGCCUUGACUCCGGGGCUUGGGAGAUGGUGGGAUUGCUGCUCAUGGCCGGCUGCGACCCGCUGCAGGUCAACGCGUCCAACAAGAAGCCGAGCGACUACGUCAGUCGCGGACUGAAGAAGAUGUUCACCAAGGAAGAAGUCGAGCAGCGGCUGCGCAGGGAGGCGCAGCUGCAGGAAGAGAGCGACGCCGAGCUCUCCAGGGCGUGGGAGCAGUGCGCGCAGUGGAAAACCAAAGUGCUUGAGAACAUCUCCUCACGGCGCCUCGUGGAGGCAGCGGAGGACGCGCGGCUGGCGCGGGAGAAGGAGGAGCGCAUUCGCGCCGCCAACGACGCUAGAAUGACAUAUGACGAGGCGCUCGCGAAGUGCCAGUUCUUGGAGGCGGAGAUACAGCGGAAAAAGGCAAUGCUAGAGAAGACGCUCACAAAAUCCGGGCGUUAGGGCGUUGCAAUCUCUCGCCCUCCCUCGCACUCCUUCUUACCUUUUUCACCGCUUCUCUGCCAUGUGUUUUUGCUCUUCGAGGGGGGGGGACGGAGGUUGGGGAGAGAGUGGAGAGGGGACUAGUGUGUCCUUCCGACGCGUUCCUCCUCCGUUUUUUUUUCGUGUUGUAUCUUUUGCUGCUUCUUUCCCCUCGCUACCGCCCCCCGAACUCACCCAAGAUGUACAGUACGCGCCGCGAGAACAUCGGCAAAACCGCCCUGCAACAACAGGAUGGCUUGCGUGCGACCCUACAAGAAACGAAAAAGACAUCAACAACAGCAACGAGAUGCGCGACGACUAGAGCUGCUUGGACGUGCUGCCUGUCUCGACGGCUAUGCUGUCGAGGUACUUCGCCUACUUUUGCGUUCACGCCCAGCUUGAUCUUGUAACCUCCUCGCCGACCUCAUCGCAUCAUGUGGCGUCAACAGCUGAGCGAGACGAAACCUCAAGAAAAGAGGGAGGGGGCUGCAUCCGUUGCGCGACGUGCGUGAGCUCUGAAUGUCGGACCACAUGGAGGAAUGCUAUGGAACGCCUUUCCCCGUCUCUCUCUGGUCCCGUGAGUGUAUCCUCUCUACUUCACUCCCCCACUCUCACUUGCGCUCUUUGACACUACUCAACGAGGUAAUACACGAAAAG
rnacentral:misc_RNA from 1 species